rnacentral:rRNA from 1 species
AUUGAACGCUGGCGGCAGGCCUAACACAUGCAAGUCGAGCGGAUGAAGGGAGCUUGCUCCUGGAUUCAGCGGCGGACGGGUGAGUAAUGCCUAGGAAUCUGCCUGGUAGUGGGGGAUAACGUCCGGAAACGGGCGCUAAUACCGCAUACGUCCUGAGGGAGAAAGUGGGGGAUCUUCGGACCUCACGCUAUCAGAUGAGCCUAGGUCGGAUUAGCUAGUUGGUGGGGUAAAGGCCUACCAAGGCGACGAUCCGUAACUGGUCUGAGAGGAUGAUCAGUCACACUGGAACUGAGACACGGUCCAGACUCCUACGGGAGGCAGCAGUGGGGAAUAUUGGACAAUGGGCGAAAGCCUGAUCCAGCCAUGCCGCGUGUGUGAAGAAGGUCUUCGGAUUGUAAAGCACUUUAAGUUGGGAGGAAGGGCAGUAAGUUAAUACUUUGCUGUUUCGACGUUACCAACAGAAUAAGCACCGGCUAACUUCGUG